UUGAGACGCUGGUCUUGUUGGGGAUUAGCCUAAAGACUGGAGCUAGGCUUUGGUUUUGUUGAGGGACAACUUGGAAACCAAUGCAAGAUACCAGCCUGUUAGUCUACCUGAGUUCAAACUUAGAUCAAGUUCUCUAAAAUGGAGUCUGAACUUAAAAGACUUGACCUCUCACCCCCUUCCCUUUCUCUUUCGACCAGAAGGCCCAAUCACGGAACUUCUGAAGCUUCAUGAAAACAGUGACAGGGCUAUGUCUUUGUGGUGCCCCUGGGGCAUGGGUAGGGGCAUCAGUGGGAGACAAGAGGGAGUCUUGAGGCUGAAUUCUCCUCCUGCUGGCCAGGGUCUUCUUCAACAGCAACUGGAUGUGUGGUGGACUCUGUAGCACAGGGACCCUUUCAGCGAAGCUCUAUGACCCCUGGCUGUGUCUCCAGGCUCAAGUUGAUGGAGCUCCACAGGUGGACCUGCUUUAUGGAAAGCACAAUGCUAUGCCAAACAAGCUUGUGCACCCACUGGGCACCCUCGAGAUCAUGUAACAGCUUCUGUCAGCAGGUGAACCAAACACAACUUCAAAAGGGAGUGGUUCUGCCCAUAUGAUCUUGGUGUCUGAGACCAUCACUGCCCCAGCAUAUCUCUGUCCAUCCUGAAUGAGGCAGUUGCCAUUGGUGAACCAUGUUACCUCUGCAUCCAUCUGAGCAGUCAUGCAGAAGCCCAUCAAUCAAGCUCAGGGUCAGGCAGCAGGGCAGCUGAAACGUUAUCCUGGGGGCAUUCGAGAAGAGAGGAUGGUUUCUAAGAUGCCUUUCCAGACUUGAACCCAAACAUGUGAGCUGCAGGCCGGACACAACAGUAGAUGACAUGAGUCGAGCCCUGUGCCCAUGGUGUGAGGUGUGGCUGGCUUAGCACUCGCUCAGAUGAGUCUGUGGUGACAUACACCUUAAAUUCCAGC